rnacentral:misc_RNA from 1 species
GCCGCAUCGGUCAGAUCCGCGAUCGCUCAUCCUGAGGUGGGUUUACACUACAAUUGGCAAAGAAGAAUGGAGAAGGGACACACGAAGCUAAAGAUCGGCAUCAUCCAUCCUGACCUUGGAAUCGGUGGUGCUGAAAGGUUAGUUGUUGAUGCAGCUGUUGAGCUCACAUCAUAUGGCCACGAUGUCCAUGUUUUCACUGCACACCAUGACAGAACUCGUUGUUUUGAGGAGACUAUUUCUGGUCCGUUUCCGGUUAUGGUAUAUGGUAGCUUCCUA